GAUUCCGUUGGGGGAACCUGCGGAGGGAUCAUUACCGAGUUUACAACUCCCAAACCCCUGUGAACAUACCUUUAUGUUGCCUCGGCGGAUCAGCCCGCGCCCCGUAAAACGGGACGGCCCGCCGCAGGAACCACAAAACUCUGAUUUUAGUGUAACUUUUGAGUCUAAAAAACAAAUAAAUCAAAACUUUCAACAACGGAUCUCUUGGUUCUGGCAUCGAUGAAGAACGCAGCAAAAUGCGAUAAGUAAUGUGAAUUGCAGAAUUCAGUGAAUCAUCGAAUCUUUGAACGCACAUUGCGCCCGCCAGUAUUCUGGCGGGCAUGCCUGUUCGAGCGUCAUUUCAACCCUCAAGCCCCCGGGUUUGGUGUUGGGGAUCGGGCUGUACUCCAGCCCGGCCCCGAAAUCUAGUGGCGGUCUCGCUGCAGCCUCCAUUGCGUAGUAGCUAACACCUCGCAACUGGAACGCGGCGCGGCCAAGCCGUUAAACCCCCAACUUCUGAAUGUGACCUCGAUCAGGUAGAUACAAAUUCUACCCCCC
rnacentral:rRNA from 1 species